rnacentral:ncRNA from 1 species
UUAAUUUGACUCAACAUGGGGAAACUCACCAGGUCCAGACAUGACUAGGAUUGACAGAUUGAUAGCUCUUUCAUGAUUUCAUGGGUGGUGGUGCAUGGCUGUUCUUAGUUGGUGGAGUGAUUUGUCUGGUUAAUUCUGAUAACGAACGAGACCUUAACCUGCUGGGACUAUGGGCAGUACAUGUAUCAAAGGGGCCACCUCCUUGUGGUUCCACCCAGGCAAUGCACAUACAGCAUAGCCAAGUGCCCCUUGUGACCGGAAGGCAGGGUCAGAUGGGAAACUGAAUGAACUGCCUGAUGAAGGUGUGGCCUAUCUUAACCUAAGGCAUCCUGAUGCUGGAGCUGGUGAUCAGUCUAGACCAAGGAAUAGGGAGCCAUAGCGAUGCAGUGUUAAUACUGAUCCUGGUCU